GGGAAUGUGACUUAUUGGUAGAGUACUUGCCUAGCAUGCAUGAAGCCCUGGGUUCAAUUCCUCAGCAUCA
rnacentral:tRNA from 1 species